rnacentral:lncRNA from 1 species
CGACGGUCGGGUACCAUUGCUAGAUGGUCACUUCGAUUGGUACUAAAAUUUAUUUUUAUACUACCAACUUAGACUUGGAUCUAUGAGAUCACACAUAUUAGAGUUCAUGAUCUGAUCGGAUGGUUGAUCAAUGAUUAAAAAUCAUUCUAGGGUUAAAUGGUCAAUACUAUUGACAUUUAACCUAGUACAAGUGUUGCAGGAGGAUCGAU